GCCUAAAGCGUCCGUAGCCUGUUCUAUAGGUUUCCGGUUAAAUCCAUUAGCUCAACUAAUGGGCCGCCGAAAAUACUGUAGAACUAGGGAGUGGGAGAGGUAGACGGUAUUCGGUAGGAAGGGGUAAAAUCCUUUGAUCUAUUGAGGACCACCUGUGGCGAAGGCGGUCUACCAGAACACGUUCGACGGUGAGGGAUGAAAGCUGGGGGAGCAAACCGGAUUAGAUACCCGGGUAGUCCCAGCCGUAAACGAUGCAGACUCGGUGAUGCGCUGGCUUGUGGCCAGUGCAGUGCCGCAGGGAAGCCGUUAAGUUUGCCGCCUGGGAAGUACGUACGCAAGUAUGAAACUUAAAGGAAUUGGCGGGGGAGCACCACAAGGGGUGAAGCCUGCGGUUCAAUUGGAGUCAACGCCAGAAAUCUUACCCGGAGAGACAGCAGAAUGAAGGUCAAGCUGAAGACUUUACCAGACAAGCUGAGAGGUGGUGCAUGGCCGUCGCCAGCUCGUGCCGUGAGAUGUCCUGUUAAGUCAGGUAACGAGCGAGAUCCUUGCCUCUAGUUGCCACCAUUACUCUCAGGAGUAGUGGGGCGAAUUAGCGGGACCGCCGUAGUUAAUACGGAGGAAGGAAGGGGCCACGGCAGGUCAGUAUGCCCCGAA
rnacentral:rRNA from 1 species